rnacentral:rRNA from 1 species
AUGGCUCGAGGAGAUGAUCUCCACGCCAUCAAGUACUCACCCCUCAAGCUCAAAGGGCCAGCUCGUCACUGGCUUAAAAGCCUCCCUGAAAGCUCCAUUGGAAGUUGGGAAGAGCUCGAAGACGCCUUUCGGGCAAAUUUCCAAGGGACUUAUGUCCGACCUCCGGAUGCGGACGAUUUGAGUCAUAUAACUCAACAACCCGGAGAGUCAUCCCGAAAGCUUUGCAACAGGUUUCUUACUAAAAAGAACCAGAUUGUCGACUGUCCGGACGCCGAAGCCUUGGCAGCUUUUAAGCGUAGCGUCCGUGACGAAUGGCUCGCCAGACACCUCGGCCAAAACAAGCCGAGAACGAUGGCCGCAUUAACAAGCCUCAUGACCCACUUUUGCGCGGGUGAGGACAGCUGGCUAGCCAGAUGCAGCACCAGCGACCCCAGUACAUCUGAAAUUAGAGAUGGAAACGGGAAAUCACGGUGCAACAACAAUAACAAACGCCGAAAUAAAGAAGACAACACGAAGGGCACGACAGUAAACGCCGGAUUCAAAAGCUCUCUGCCAGGUCAAAAGCCGCCCUCUAAAGGCAUCAGGGAUGAACUGUCCAGCCUCAACAAAAUUCUGGACCAAGUAUGUCAGAUCCAUAGUACCCCUGGUAAACCUGCUAAUCAUACCCACAAAGAAUGUUGGGUCUUCAAGCAGUCCGGCAAGCUCAACGCCGUACACAAGGGGGAGGAUACACCAAGUGAAGACGAGGACGAGCCUCCCAAGCAAGACACUGGGGAACAAAAGAAAUUUUCACCAGAAGUCAAAACAGUAAACGUCUUACACGUGAUCAAGGGAAAAAACAACGCGGCACUCCCAGGAAAAUAUACCCAAGUGCCUGUCACCGCGAAGUCCUGCCACUGGUCGUCUCAACCGAUCACUUUCGACCAUUGCGAUUACUCAGCAAGUAUCUGA